GGGGGCGUCUUGGAUUCGACAGGGGUCAGUUUGAAUAGAAUGGCAGCCGUUGGCAUACGUUAAAUGCAACAAAAAAUAUCUGGAAACAGACAACAAUUAUCUUUCGCUUGCUAGUCGACGUUAGACUUUAGCGAAUAUCAGCCUUUGAGAUACCUAUGCUUAAAGAACUGGUAACAUACUUUAUAGGUUAAGGGUAUAUAGAGUCUGGAUGUAUAUCUCGAAAAUUAACAGAAUCGCUAAGUGAAAGACUGCUUGUGGAUCGUAGCUUAGUUAAAUUUAUUCGACAAGAUAAGCUGUAGAAGUUCUAUAUGGGACGGCUUUUGGACGCGGGUUCGAUUCCCGCCGCCUCCACCA
rnacentral:tmRNA from 1 species